rnacentral:rRNA from 1 species
UACGUAGGGUCCGAGCGUUGUCCGGAAUUAUUGGGCGUAAAGAGCUCGUAGGCGGUUUGUCGCGUCUGCUGUGAAAACUCGGGGCUCAACUCCGAGCUUGCAGUGGGUACGGGCAGACUAGAGUGCGGUAGGGGAGACUGGAAUUCCUGGUGUAGCGGUGGAAUGCGCAGAUAUCAGGAGGAACACCGGUGGCGAAGGCGGGUCUCUGGGCCGUAACUGACGCUGAGGAGCGAAAGCAUGGGGAGCGAACAGG